rnacentral:rRNA from 1 species
GUUGUUGCAGUUAAAAAGCUCGUAGUUGGAUUUCUGGCAGAGUGACUCCGGCCAGCAGUUCGCUUGGUUAGGAGCGCCCUACCAUCCUUCGGUUAACCUUUACGGGAUUCGCUUUCUGUGCUGGGGCUCCGAUAUUUUACCUUGAGAAAAUUAGAGUGUUUCAGGCAGGCCAUAGCCGGAAUACAUUAGCAUGGAAUAAUGGAAAAGGACUACUACCUCUUCUGUUGGUCUGGGAGGCAGCAGUAAUGAUUAAUAGGGAUAGUUGGGGGCAUUAGUACUUAACUGUCAGAGGUGAAAUUCUCCGAUUUGUUAAAGACUAACUUAUGCGAAAGCAUUUGCCAAGGAUGUUUUCAUUAAUCAAGAACGAAAGUUAGGGGAUCAAAGACGAUCAGAUACCGUCCUAGUCUCACCCAUAAACUAUGCCGACUCGGGAUCGGGGGCACGC